GUGAGUUACUGAAAUUCCCUUGCAAGGGAAAGUUAGGUUGAAAGUCCCCUGAAUGUGCCACAAUGAUGAGAGUUUAUUUGCUACUCUUGACUGUGAGGAUGACGAGAAUUAUUACCACCAUUAUUCUAACUGAGGCACACGAAAUGGCUGUUCAGAGAGCGCAGAGAUUGCACCUACCUUGACAUGAAACUUUCUUCCCAGGUCUUAAAGCUCAAGCUUGAUGCUCUAUCUAUGAGCAGACAGCCAUUAAGCAGACUUGACUGGAAGUUGAAGAGGUGAACUUGAAUCCUUGACCUGUCAAAAGCAGUUGGCCUUUUUGAUGAUGGCUACAUGUUUUUUUCUAUGGAUGACUUCUUUGGGGUGUGAAGAGAGGUAGAGACUACGUCCAUGCAAGGAACCAAGAGUUCUAACCAAAGGCAGAUGUUUUGUUGUCCUGAAGAUUUCAAGGCAGCCUGAUGGAUGCACAUGGGAUAGAAGAGCAAACAGCUAUUAAUUGACUGCUGCUCUGCACAGCUUUUGGGAUCCUAGCUUCCUGACAAGGGAUCAAACCUGUGACUGCUGCAGUGGAAGCUCAGCGCUAACCAUUGGACCCCAGGAAAUUCUCCAGCUUUCUAUUUUAAUAAAUGUUUAUAAAUCAU
ensembl:lncRNA